ACCAAGGGUCAACCUAUGAUUUUUAUGUUUUUGGUUAGGGUUUUAGGGUUUUUCUGCCACCUUGAAGAAAACCCUAGAUUUGUUAUCCUAAGUUCCUCAAGUUUCAGUUAGGGGUAUCAAUUGCAGUUACAAAUGGAGGGAUUAAGCGUAGCAGAUGCUGAUUUGGUGGUUUACUUACACCCAUCGAAGAGCAGUAAGGUUUCACAGGCGAUCCUCCGUGAGCUUAGCUCUUCACUCUUCAAGUUCAACGAAGCGUUUGGUGGUGUUUUAUUGGCCUACGAUGUUAAUAUUCUGGAUAAACAGGCAAAAAUUCUUUCUGGUGUUCAUCCUUAUUUUGGUGUUAGACUAAAGGCAAAUCUCCUACUUUUUUCACCAAAGUCAGAUAUGCUCUUAGAGGGGAAAGUAGUGAAGCUUUCUCAAGAAUCUAUUCAUGUCAUUAUUCUUGGUUUUUCGUCUGCAAUCAUAACAGCUGAAAACAUCCGCAGAGAAUUUAAAUAUAAAACUAAAGACAACGAGGAACUAUUUGCCAGCAGAUCUCACAAGCGGCAUGUCAUAAAGGUUGGAACCAUGAUCCGUUUUUUAGUCAAGAGUUUUGAUGAGGAAAUACUUCAUAUCAUUGGGUCUUUGAUGCCAGCUUGCACUGGAAGCAUCCGUUGGUUAGAUAGAAAUUCAGAGGAAAUUUCAGAAUUUGAUAGGAGUGCUACAAAGAGUACAGAUAGAGAAUGGCAGGAGGAUAAAACUGUUGAUGAGGGAGCAACUCCCUUAAGCUACAAUAAUCACAUUCAAAAGUUUAAAAAACGAAGAAUCAGUGAAGAUUAAUGAAGAUUGCUGCCAAUUACUAAUUGUUGAAGGAGAUUUCUUAUUCUCAGGUAGUGAAAAGAAUUGGAGCAGAAGGUCCAUAUAGAUGAAAGUAUACCUCUUCCGGGGCUGAUUAUUUUGGUAAUUAAAUGUGCUUUUCUGUUGAAGGUCGCUGACAUUCCGAGAUCUUCCCUUAGUCCUUUUCCAUGCUGGUUGUAUGUGCUCCAAAAUUGAAAAUUAAUGCAUUGUUUUUUCCCCGAUAAAUGGGUAAUUUUUGUUUCUUGGUGCUGUGCAUGGAGGAAAUUUUUUGUACUUUUUACAACUGAAGACUUGGUCUUGUCCAUACAUAUGUUAACAUUACUCUUUAUCAAAAAUAAAUGCUUUGUCCCCUUGUUUCAUUAUGGCUUCAUGUGUCAUGUUUUGUCCAAUUUUGAUUUAUGUCAAUGUUUACUGAUAAUAUCAGUUAUUCUCAUUUCCUGGAUUCGAUCAAUCUGUUUUCUGUUACAUGGAGACGGUGUGUAGGUGCUAUUGGAAACGUCAACCAAUUUGUAGUAAUAAGCAAGACAAUGUCUCAUAUUUAAUUUAUGGGAAUUCAAAUAUGGCGUACGUUGCUUUUAGUUUGACUAAAGGGUCAUGUAAUAAAUGAUCAAAUUUGAUGC